UACGUAGGGGGCAAGCGUUGUCCGGAUUUAUUGGGCGUAAAGAGCGUGUAGGCGGCCAGGUAGGUCAGCUGUGAAAACUCGAGGCUCAACCUCGAGACGUCGGUUGAAACCACCUGGCUAGAGUCCGGAAGAGGAGAGUGGAAUUCCUGGUGUAGCGGUGAAAUGCGCAGAUAUCAGGAAGAACACCGGUGGCGAAGGCGCUCUGCUAGGCCGCAACUGACACUGAGGGACGAAAGCUAGGGGAGCGAAUGGG
rnacentral:rRNA from 1 species